UAUUUAUUUAUAUUUUUACGCGUAUGUGGUAAUAGAUGAAGAGGCAGAGUAAAGGAUUGUUUACCCUGCGCAAUAAAAUUGUGCACUGAUGAAAACCCUACGAAAUUUACUAAUAGAUCGCCCAAAAUGACAUGAAAAAUUGAGCUCUAUAGGAUUCAAUCCUUUGCAUUAAUUUCAGCUAUCCUGGCAUUCUUCUUCAUUGAAUUCGUUAGGCUAGGGUACCAGAGCAGUCUCUGAUCAUUCUUAGAUAAAUGUAGGACCAAACUAGCCGGCAAAUGAAACCCCAAUCACUUUCUACUUUCAACAAUUGAAAACUACUUCAAAAUUGAAUUAAAACUAUGGAUGAUAAUGCCAUGACUAAGAGGUAUCUAUAUUAUCAAAGUCACCGAGGAUUUGCUCUUGCACUCAUCUUUUGGGUACACAAUAUCUAUAAUUGGAUGCAAUUGUUUACCAGUUUAACAUUUAAACCUGUAACAUGAUUCUCGCUGAUGAACAUGAGUCUCCACUAUGCAAACCAUGAUGAUCAUCACUGUUCAUAUACAAUUGCAUUUGCAUUAGAAGCUUAAUCUGGCUUCUAAAUUGGUAGACCAGCUUAGAAUUGAUUCGAUGUUUUAUGGAUAGGCUGAAGUUGUUUUUUUAUGAAUUGAACAUACAAUAUUCAGGUCUAAAGCAUCCUUGACACUUAGAAUUGAUUCAAUGUUUUAUGGAUAGGCUGAAGUUGUUUUUUUAUGAAUUGAACAUACAAUAUUCAGGUCUAAAGCAUCCUUGACACCUGUUCUAACCUCUUGAGGGAAGGGAAAGACAAAUUUUCAGAGAAAAGGGAACAGAUGUAUUAUUGUUUAGAUCAUAUUAUAUUUUUUUUUUAUGUUUAUUGCAGGGAUAUGAUAAUCCUAAUAGAUAUGAUUAUUAUCAGCUUAUUUAUUCUGGAGUAAAUAGGAGAUAUUGCCCAGUUUCUAUUGAACCUGUCCAUCCAUCUUUUCGCUAAUGUUUAAAAUACAUUUUCACAUUUGCAUUGGAAAUUUAGUCUGUUUCCAAACUUCUAGUUCUUUCUACACAUCCGGUUUGCAGAAGUAUAAAAUUUUAAUGUAUGAAUUUAUUCAAUUUAUUUUUGAUAGGCUAAUUUUGAUUCUUAAAAUCUAAUAGUACAUUGUGAAGGCGGUUGUAAGUCAGAUUAUUAUAUUUGAUUGUUGCAUCUCUGCAUGAGACAAUGUUUGGUUUCUCCUAUGGAGAGGUGCUGCUACUUUUGGGAGCAACCGUUGCUGUUAUUGGGCCAAAAGAUGUACCGAGGAUUGCUAGAGCGGCUGGCAGGUUAGCUGGUAAAGUAGUAGGCUAUGUCCAAAGUGGUCGAGGACAGAUGGAAACUGUCUUGCAUCAAUCUCAAGCUACUCAGAUUUUGAGUCCAUAUUGUUGCAUCUCUGCAUGAGACAUUGUUUGGUUUCUCCUAUGGAGAGGAGCUGCUACUUUUGGGAGCAACUGUUGCAGUUAUUGGGCCAAAAGAUGUACCGAGGAUUGCUAGAGCGGCUGGCAGGUUAGCUGGUAAAGUAGUAGGCUUUGUCCAAAGUGGUCGAGGACAGAUGGAAACUGUCUUAUAUCAAUCUCAAGCUACUUAGGUCCAUAGUCCUCUAUUUGCAAAACACUUUUUUUUCAUGCUUUCUUUUCUGAGUGUCAUAUUUAUUAAAUAACAUUUUCUUUCUGAUCAAAGAAAAUUAAUGUGCAUGAUGCAUUUUUGGGAAUGUUGAUGUGGCUUUUUUAAUACUCUGAAAUAGGAAGUAAAUGACUCGUGCUCACCAAAGACAAUUCCCUUGGAGGGGCAUAAGAAUUGUGACCUCUCCUAACUUAAUAACCUAUCAAUAUUAAAACUAGAAAAACCAAAAUAGGGAAUCCUAUAAGAGUAGGGGUGUCCAACA